UCCAAGACUAGACUCAUUCAGCCGGAGCAUUUAUGAGCUUUGACCAAGUCUAGAUCUUUGUGGUCAAUAUGUAUUAAAUGUGUAGAUUCUCUCCUUUUUGUAAACACUUAUGAACCUCCACUAUAUAUUGAUAGUGAGAACUAAUGAGAAAGACACAACUUUCAAAACAACACUUCUCUCAUAUUUCUAACAACAUACAUCUUGUUAGCAAGAGAUAAGAAUUUAACAAUGUAUAAUAAGUUGAAGGGUAUUGUUGUUACUGAACUGUAAACCAGACUAUGUGAACUAUAUUGGACUGAAAUUGUAGGCCGUUGAUAAGGCCUAAGCCCAUCCAGUAAGAGGUAUGAAGACUGCGAAUAAACGAUGAUGAUAAAAGACUUUUGUAAACCCGUACUUAA
rnacentral:lncRNA from 1 species